rnacentral:tRNA from 1 species
GUCUCUUUAGCCCAAGUAGUAAAGCACAGGACUUGUAAACAAGUUGUCGUGAGUUCAAUCCUCACAAGAGGCA